rnacentral:rRNA from 1 species
CUGACUGACCGAUAGUGAACCAGUACCGUGAGGGAAAGGCGAAAAGAACCCCUGUGAGGGGAGUGAAAUAGAACCUGAAACCGUGUACGUACAAGCAGUGGGAGCACCUUUGUGGUGUGACUGCGUACCUUUUGUAUAAUGGGUCAGCGACUUACAUUCUGUAGCAAGGUUAACCGAAUAGGGGAGCCGUAGGGAAACCGAGUCUUAACUGGGCGAUUAGUUGCAGGGUGUAGACCCGAAACCGAGUGAUCUAGCCAUGGGCAGGUUGAAGGUGCCGUAACAGGUACUGGAGGACCGAACCCACUAAUGUUGCAAAAUUAGGGGAUGACCUGUGGCUAGGGGUGAAAGGCCAAUCAAACUCGGAGAUAUCUGGUUCUCCCCGAAAGCUAUUUAGGUAGCGCCUCGGACGAAUACUACUGGGGGUAGAGCACUGUUUCGACUAGGGGGUCAUCCCGACUUACCAACUCGAUGCAAACUCCGAAUACCAGUAAGUACUAUCCGGGAGACACACGGCGGGUGCUAACGUCCGUCGUGAAGAGGGAAACAACCCAGACCGCCAGCUAAGGUCCCAAAGUACGAGUUAAGUGGGAAACGAUGUGGGAAGGCUUAGACAGCUAGGAUGUUGGCUUAGAAGCAGCCAUCAUUUAAAGAAAGCGUAAUAGCUCACUAGUCGAGUCGGCCUGCGCGGAAGAUGUAACGGGGCUAAACUCGUCACCGAAGCUGCGGAUUUGUGCUUUGCACAAGUGGUAGGGGAGCGUUCUGUAAGCCUGAGAAGGUGUGUGGUAACGCAUGCUGGAGGUAUCAGAAGUGCGAAUGCUGACGUGAGUAACGUUAAAGGGAGUGAAAGACUCCCUCGCCGGAAGACCAAGGGUUCCUGUCCAACGUUAAUCGGGGCAGGGUGAGUCGGCCCCUAAGGCGAGGCUGAAAGGCGUAGUCGAUGGGAAGCGGGUUAAUAUUCCUGCACUUUUUGUAACUGCGAUGGGGGGACGGAGAAGGCUAAGUAGGCCAGCGGUUGGUAGAGCUGGUGAAAGGUGGUAGGCAGAGAUGAUAGGUAAAUCCGUUGUCUUAUAUGUCGAGAGCCGAGACGAAGUGACCACGGUCAUGAAGUUACUGAUGCCACGCUUCCAGGAAAAGCCUCUAAGCUUCAGGUUACAAAGAACCGUACCCGAAACCAACACUGGUGGUCAGGUAGAGAAUACCAAGGCGCUUGAGAGAACUCGGGUGAAGGAACUAGGCAAAAUAGUACCGUAACUUCGGGAGAAGGUACGCUGUUGUUGGUGAAGGACCUGCGUCCGGAGCUGAUGGCAGCCGCAGUGACCAGGUGGCUGGGACUGUUUAACAAAAACACAGCACUCUGCAAACACGAAAGUGGACGUAUAGGGUGUGACACCUGCCCGGUGCCGGAAGGUUAAUUGAUGGGGUUAGCGCAAGCGAAGCUCUUGAUCGAAGCCCCGGUAAACGGCGGCCGUAACUAUAACGGUCCUAAGGUAGCGAAAUUCCUUGUCG